GGAGGCGUUCUGGACAGGGGUUCGAUUCCCCUCACCUCCACCCAAGGGCAUUCGGCUGAGUGUGUUUGGUUGGGGGUGUACUGGCUUCGACAGGGCGGGCAAAGGUGCGCAGGCAACCCGAGAGGUGACGGACGUAAUCCGCACAAAUCCAUAAUUGCCAAUGAUGAGCAAUUCGCUAUCGCCGCCUAAAAACGGCUAGCUGGGGCCGCUGAAGCCUUAUUACCCAAGACAGCCGGC
rnacentral:tmRNA from 1 species